GAUGAAGAACGUAGCGAAAUGCGAUACUUGGUGUGAAUUGCAGAAUCCCGUGAACCAUCGAGUCUUUGAACGCAAGUUGCGCCCGAAGCCAUCAGGUUGAGAGCACGUCUGCCUGGGCGUCACAUAUCGUUGCCCAAUGCCUAUUGCAGUGCAAUAGGAAUUUCUAGGGCGAAUGAUGGCUUCCCGUGAGCGUUGUUGCCUCGCGGUUGGUUGAAAAUCGAGUCCUUGGUAGGGUGUGCCAUGGUAGAUGGUGGUCGAGUUAGAACGAUACCGAUCAUGUGCAUGCUCCCCAAAAUAUGGCCUCUAUGACCCACACGCGUCUUUUGACGCUCAUGACGAGACCUCAGGUCAGGCGGGGCUACCCGCUGAAUUUAAGCAUAUCAAUAAGCGGAGGA
rnacentral:misc_RNA from 1 species